CACCAUCAAUGACUCCUUUUCACUCCUUCGGGAAAUGAUGUGGUCUCCAGUCAUAGGCCCUGUGAGACAUGUUUGGUGCAUCCCAGAGCUUCUGGGAUCGCCAGGUGGAGGCAUUGCAUAGAAUCCCCCAGUGUCAUCACAGGGGCCCAGGAGUGGAAGAUGACACCCUAAUUUAGGUAAUUCUGCACUUCUCGUUAUGAUUGGCUAUUGGAAAAUGUGCCUUUAUUAUCGGAAUAGUGGUGUGCACAUUUCUGAUUAUGUAGCAAACCCUUUGGAUAUCUGAUUUAGACACUCUAUGUGAGUGUUGAGGUUUUGCACUUGUAAAUACAAUUUGAAAGCAUGGAACUGGUAAUUUAAUUAGAUGUUUUCUAUAAAAUGCACCGUGUUACAUUUCUGUGAAAGGCUCUUUACCAGCACAGAAUAACUGUCUCAACAGUUGAGAGAAACAACCAUUUUUCUUAAUAGUUAACUGUUUGAAUGAUUAUCAGUGUAAGUCUGCUGGCAAUAAAGGCUGUUGUGAAAAGUC